rnacentral:lncRNA from 1 species
GAAUGCAUGUCACAUAUUUUGGAACCAAGGUUUGGACGAAAUUGAAGACUUAAAGAGGCUAAGAAUGUGAAGAAUUAGUGUACAAAGGAUCAUGAACUCAACCACAAAAAGACACACAUCCUUGCCGUGCAAUCCACAUAGCAUUCCCUUUGGAUUCCCAUGCAUGCUUAAUCAUCCUUGUCCCCUAAAAUAUUUCUGAUUUCAUGCCUCAAUACACUCAAUUAUCACACUCAAUUGAUGCAUACCUCUUGUUCCCUUCACCCAUCAGAUUUCACAACCAUUCCAUGCACCAAUUGAUGCUCCAUCAUCCACAUUUGGGAUCCAAUGCCUUGUGCAACACAU